AGGGUUGCUGGAGAUUUUGCAAUGUGUGGAGCGGCCCAGAGUCUUACGACGUCAUCCACCUAGCCUUUCUCUGAGCAUUAGACAUCAAUUUCUUCAACCAUUCCUGAUGAGUCAUGAUUUAGAGACCCCUCCCCAUCUUGGAAAACACAUCUAAUCACGUUUCCUAGAACCCGACCUGAUUGUCACUGCCUCUAUACUAAAACGCACCCUGCUUGGAACAUCUGCUUU